GACGUAGGGCGCGAGCGUUGUCCGGAUUUAUUGGGCGUAAAGAGCGUGUAGGCGGCCAGACAGGUCCGUUGUGAAAACUAGAGGCUUAACCUCUAGACGUCGAUGGAAACCGUCUGGCUAGAGUCCGGAAGAGGAGAGUGGAAUUCCUGGUGUAGCGGUGAAAUGCGCAGAUAUCAGGAAGAACACCCGUGGCUAAGGCGGUUCUCUAGUACGGUACUGACGCUGAGACGCGAAAGCGUGGGAGCGAACAGG
rnacentral:rRNA from 1 species